rnacentral:rRNA from 1 species
UGAUCUCAAAUCAGGUAGGACUACCCGCUGAACUUAAGCAUAUCAAUAAGCGGAGGAAAAGAAACUAACAAGGAUUCCCCUAGUAACUGCGAGUGAAGCGGGAAGAGCUCAAAUUUAAAAUCUGGCGUGCCUCUGGUCGUCCGAGUUGUAGUCUGGAGAAGCGUUUUCCGUGUUGGACCGUGUAUAAGUCCCUUGGAACAGGGCGUCAUAGAGGGUGAGAAUCC